UACGUAGGGGGCAAGCGUUGUCCGGAAUUAUUGGGCGUAAAGCGCGCGCAGGCGGUCGAUUUAGUCGGGUGGUUAAGCCCGAGGCUCAACCCCGGGUCACACCGGAAACGGGUCGACUGGAGUGCAGAAGGGGAGAGUGGAAUUCCACGUGUAGCGGUGAAAUGCGUAGAGAUGUGGAGGAACACCAGUGGCGAAGGCGACUCUCUGGACUGUAACUGACGCUGAGGCGCGAAAGCGUGGGGAGCAAACAGG
rnacentral:rRNA from 1 species